CCUACGGGGGGCAGCAGUGAGGAAUAUUGGUCAAUGGACGAGAGUCUGAACCAGCCAAGUAGCGUGAAGGAUGACUGCCCUAUGGGUUGUAAACUUCUUUUAUAUGGGAAUAAAAUGUUCCACGUGUGGGAUUUUGUAUGUACCAUAUGAAUAAGGAUCGGCUAACUCCGUGCCAGCAGCCGCGGUAAUACGGAGGAUCCGAGCGUUAUCCGGAUUUAUUGGGUUUAAAGGGAGCGUAGGUGGAUUGUUAAGUCAGUUGUGAAAGUUUGCGGCUCAACCGUAAAAUUGCAGUUGAAACUGGCAGUCUUGAGUACGGUAGAGGUGGGCGGAAUUCGUGGUGUAGCGGUGAAAUGCUUAGAUAUCACGAAGAACUCCGAUUGCGAAGGCAGUUCACUGGACUGCAACUGACACUGAGGCUCGAAAGUGUGGGUAUCAAACAGGAUUAGAUACCCUAGUAGUC
rnacentral:rRNA from 1 species